UUUAAUAUGGCAGAAAAAGUGCAAUGAAUUUAAGAUUCAUAAAUAAAAUCAUUUUUUAUUAAAA
rnacentral:tRNA from 2 species